rnacentral:rRNA from 1 species
AACGAACGCUGGCGGCAUGCCUAACACAUGCAAGUCGAACGAGACCUUCGGGUCUAGUGGCGCACGGGUGCGUAACGCGUGGGAACCUGCCCUUAGGUUCGGAAUAACUCCCCGAAAGGGGUGCUAAUACCGGAUAAUGUCUUCGGACCAAAGAUUUAUCGCCUUUGGAUGGGCCCGCGUUGGAUUAGCUAGUUGGUAGGGUAAAAGCCUACCAAGGCGACGAUCCAUAGCUGGUCUGAGAGGAUGAUCAGCCACACUGGGACUGAGACACGGCCCAGACUCCUAGGGGAGGCGGCAGUAGGGAAUAUUCCGGAAGGGGCGAGAGCGUGACGGAGCAACGCCGCGUGAUUGAUGAAGGUUUUCGGAGCGGAAAACUCUGUGAUUAGGGAAGAAAAAAGGUGUAAGUACCUAUGCACGUCUGGAGGGUACCUAAUCAGAAAGCCACGGCUAACUACGUG